AAUGAACGCUGGCGGCAGGCCUAACACAUGCAAGUCGAACGGAUCCUUCGGGAUUAGUGGCGGACGGGUGAGUAACGCGUGGGAACAUACCCUUUGGUACGGAAUAGCCUCGGGAAACUGGGAGUAAUACCGUAUGUGGUCGAGAGACGAAAGAUUUAUCGCCAAAGGAUUGGCCCGCGUUGGAUUAGGUAGUUGGUGGGGUAAUGGCCUACCAAGCCGACGAUCCAUAGCUGGUUUGAGAGGAUGAUCAGCCACACUGGGACUGAGACACGGCCCAGACUCCUACGGGAGGCAGCAGUGGGGAAUUUUAGACAAUGGGGGAAACCCUGAUCUAGCCAUGCCGCGUGAUCGAUGAAGGCCUUAGGGUUGUAAGGAUCUUUCAGGUGGGAAGAUAAUGACUGUACCACCAGAAGAAGCCCCGGCUAACUCCGUGCCAGCCGCCGCGGUAA
rnacentral:rRNA from 1 species